CUAAAGUGGGGUUUGUCAGAGCUGGGCAGCUGUGCCUGGUGCAGGGCAGCGGGGCAGGGCUCAGGAGCAUGGACGGGCUGGUGGAACUGCUCCAAGAUGUGCCAGCCACUGCCCGGUGCAGAACCACUCUGACACCAUCAUGAAAAAGGUGCCAUGAGAUCUGUGAGUUAACCGUGAUCCCACAGCUGGUGAAAGAAAGGUACUUUUUGAUGACAGUGCAUCACUGCUAUUUUGAAUCAGCCUGAGUUUGGUGCACUGUGAAGAAUUUUGCUCACAGUGAUUCAGCUGCA
rnacentral:lncRNA from 1 species